rnacentral:rRNA from 1 species
GAGUUUGAUCCUGGCUCAGAUUGAACGCUGGCGGGAUGCUUUACACAUGCAAGUCGGACGGCAGCACGGGGCUUCGGCCUGGUGGCGAGUGGCGAACGGGUGAGUAAUGUAUCGGAACGUGCCCGGUAGCGGGGAUAACUACGCGAAAGCGUGGCUAAUACCGCAUACGCCCUACGGGGGAAAGCGGGGACCUUCGGGCCUCGCACUAUUGGAGCGGCCGAUAUCGGAUUAGCUAGUUGGUGGGGUAACGGCCUACCAAGGCGACGAUCCGUAGCUGGUUUGAGAGGACGACCAGUCACACUGGGACUGAGACACGGCCCAGACUCCUACGGGAGGCAGCAGUGGGGAAUUUUGGACAAUGGGGGCAACCCUGAUCCAGCCAUCCCGCGUGUGCGAUGAAGGCCUUCGGGUUGUAAAGCACUUUUGGCAGGAAAGAAACGGCACGGGCUAAUAUCCUGUGCAACUGACGGUACCUGCAGAAUAAGCACCGGCUAACUACGUGCCAGCAGCCGCGGUAAUACGUAGGGUGCAAGCGUUAAUCGGAAUUACUGGGCGUAAAGCGUGCGCAGGCGGUUCGGAAAGAAAGAUGUGAAAUCCCAGGGCUUAACCUUGGAACUGCAUUUUUAACUACCGAGCUAGAGUGUGUCAGAGGGAGGUGGAAUUCCGCGUGUAGCAGUGAAAUGCGUAGAUAUGCGGAGGAACACCGAUGGCGAAGGCAGCCUCCUGGGAUAACACUGACGCUCAUGCACGAAAGUGUGGGGAGCAAACAGGAUUAGAUACCCUGGUAGUCCACGCCCUAAACGAUGUCAACUAGCUGUUGGGGCCUUCGGGCCUUGGUAGCGCAGCUAACGCGUGAAGUUGACCGCCUGGGGAGUACGGUCGCAAGAUUAAAACUCAAAGGAAUUGACGGGGACCCGCACAAGCGGUGGAUGAUGUGGAUUAAUUCGAUGCAACGCGAAAAACCUUACCUACCCUUGACAUGUCUGGAAUCCCGAAGAGAUUUGGGAGUGCUCGCAAGAGAACCGGAACACAGGUGCUGCAUGGCUGUCGUCAGCUCGUGUCGUGAGAUGUUGGGUUAAGUCCCGCAACGAGCGCAACCCUUGUCAUUAGUUGCUACGAAAGGGCACUCUAAUGAGACUGCCGGUGACAAACCGGAGGAAGGUGGGGAUGACGUCAAGUCCUCAUGGCCCUUAUGGGUAGGGCUUCACACGUCAUACAAUGGUCGGGACAGAGGGUUGCCAACCCGCGAGGGGGAGCCAAUCCCAGAAACCCGGUCGUAGUCCGGAUCGCAGUCUGCAACUCGACUGCGUGAAGUCGGAAUCGCUAGUAAUCGCGGAUCAGCAUGUCGCGGUGAAUACGUUCCCGGGUCUUGUACACACCGCCCGUCACACCAUGGGAGUGGGUUUUACCAGAAGUAGUUAGCCUAACCGCAAGGGGGCGAUUACCACGGUAGGAUUCAUGACUGGGGUGAAGUCGUAACAAGGUAGCCGUAUCGGAAGGUGCGGCUGGAUCACC